UACAGAGGUGGCAAGCGUUGUUCGGAAUUACUGGGCGUAAAGGGCGCGUAGGCGGCCUGAUAAGUAGGGGGUGAAAUCUUGCGGCUUAACCGCAAGGCUGCCUUCUAAACUGUCAGGCUAGAGCACAGUAGAGGCAGGUGGAAUUCCCGGUGUAGCGGUGGAAUGCGUAGAGAUCGGGAGGAACACCAGUGGCGAAGGCGACUACCUGGCCUGUUCUUGACGCUGAGGCGCGAAAGCUAGGGGAGCAAACGGG
rnacentral:rRNA from 1 species